UAUAGUUAUCAACAUACUUAACAUGGUAAUAUCAUCUCUUUUUUUGUCAGUCUCUGGUUUGUAACGUCAUCUCUCUCGUUUGUUUGUUAGAAAUAGUUUCUUAAAAGUGGCCACCUCAUAGCCUGCAUAUGUGCGAUCUCAGGUAUUUGUUGAAUUAAUAAAUAAGUUCACAGUUUAAAUUCUUUUUUCAUUUCUAGUUUCUCUAAAAUACAGGAUUAAGCAGAUGGUUUUGGGUAAUUAGAAAAAAAGGUACACGUUUUUCUUAAAAAUGGGGCAGAGAAGAUCUGUCAGUGUUCAUCUCAGCUUGUGCAUGUUUUGGCAUUUAUGGAAUUAC
rnacentral:lncRNA from 1 species